rnacentral:rRNA from 1 species
AGAGUUUGAUCAUGGCUCAGGAUGAACGCUAGCGGCAGGCCUAAUACAUGCAAGUCGAACGCUCAGUAGCAAUACUGGGAGUGGCGCACGGGUGCGUAACGCGUACACAAUCUACCUCUAAGCGGGGGACACCUCCUGGAAACGGGGAUUAAUACCGCAUAAUAUGCCGAGGUCGCAUGACUUUGGUAUUAAAGCAGCAAUGCACUUAGAGAUGAGUGUGCGUCCCAUUAGGUAGUUGGUGAGGUAAACGGCUCACCAAGCCUAUGAUGGGUAGCCGGUCUGAGAGGAUGGUCGGCCACACGGGCACUGAGACACGGGCCCGACUCCUACGGGAGGCAGCAGUAAGGAAUAUUGGUCAAUGGUGGAAACACUGAACCAGCCAUGCCGCGUGGAGGAAUAAGGUCCUACGGAUUGUAAACUCCUUUUGACGAGGAAGAAAGUGUUAGAUUUAUCUAAUUUUGACGGUACUCGUAGAAUAAGCACCGGCUAACUCCGUG